AAUUGUACCUCUUGCUUCUAAGGUAUUCUAUGCUAAUGUGGGAUUGUAUUUUCCGCUUUAUGAGUUGUAAAUUUUUCCUCUGAUGCGGUGUGGCCUCUUCAAAAUACGUGUCUUCUUCAUAUCCCCAAUACAAGUUCACUUUCUUUCCCUCCCAUGGCUUCACCACCGACAAUUAACCUCAUCUGGGUAGUCUUCUCCAGCGUACCCAUCGGAGAUCCUUGCUAUUCUUAGAACAUCACAGCUAACAGAACUUGAAGACGAUUGUUGCAGAAUAGGUCAAAAUUAGGGUUUGUAUUUUUUCAAAACAAACAGAGAUUAUGAGCACCUCCGUACAAUUUCCAGAAUAAAAAAUCGUGACCACCAUCUUCAACCAAACAGAGCACACGAUGGCGACGACCAACGGUGACACCCAUAUUUGUUGUUGCUAGCACGGUCUAAUAUUAAGGACUACCAUAACUACACAGUUGCACGCGUGCUGUUCUUGCGCAUAUGGGCGGAACAUUAUGGGGAUCUAUGAGGCACAUUAUACCAGCUUCCACAUCAACACUUAGCACCCCCGCUGCAACGCGGGGGGUGCUUCCUUCUAGUUUUUGUAAAAUAUUAACUUUCAAUUAUUAGAAUUUUCUACGGAUAGAUUUUGUUCGAGUCUAUAUCUCUAUAUAUAUUUUUAAAAGAUAAACUUCAUUCACCAAAGAAA